rnacentral:lncRNA from 1 species
AGUGUAACCUUUCUACCAGGUCCCAUGCUCGGGACAGGUGUUCUUUGAAUGUGUAAACUGAAGUAGUACUAAAAGUAACAAUGCCGACCGGAGUGUGUACCUAAUGCGAUUUUGCAGUAUGGACGAGGUUCUUUUAGGCAGCAGCAACAGCAGUGGAUUCGAAGAGCUCCAGAAGUGCAAAUUUAGCAUUUCACAGAUGUUCCAAUAAAGGCAAACUGGCUGGUAAGUGAGUCAGGGCAGAUUUUUAAGCCCUUUCUUUGCUCUGCAGGGCACCAACUGUGCUUGUGUAAUCUUUAUACAAAGUAAUGUUGAUCUGUUUUGUUCUCUGUCUUUUUUGCAGUGGCAUUUUUCACUUGAAUGAUUCUGC